CACAGUAGGUGAACCUGCGGUAGGAUCAUU
rnacentral:rRNA from 1 species